rnacentral:rRNA from 1 species
GAUGAACGCUGGCGGCGUGCCUAAUACAUGCAAGUCGAGCGAACAGACGAGGAGCUUGCUCCUCUAACGUUAGCGGCGGACGGGUGAGUAACACGUGGAUAACCUACCUAUAAGACUGGGAUAACUUCGGGAAACCGGAGCUAAUACCGGAUAUAUUUUGGAACGCAUGGUUUCAUAAUGAAAAACGGGUUUUGUGUUACCUAUAGGAUGAUUCUCGGCCGCAUAAGUUAGUUGGUAAGUAAACGGCUUACCAAGGCGACGAUGCGUAGCCGACCUGAGAGGGUGAUCGGCCACACUGGAACUGAGACACGGUCCAGACUCCUACGGGAGGCAGCAGUAGGGAAUCUUCCGCAAUGGGCGAAAGCCUGACGGAGCAACGCCGCGUGAGUGAUGAAGGUCUUCGGAUCGUAAAACUCUGUUAUUAGGGAAGAACAAAUGUGUAAGUAACUAUGCACGUCUUGACGGUACCUAAUCAGAAAGCCACGGCUAACUACGUG